rnacentral:rRNA from 1 species
AGUGAACGCUGGCGGCGUGCCUAAUACAUGCAAGUCGAACGAAGUGGCGCACGGGUGAGUAAUAUAUAGUUCAUCUGCCCUACACAGAGGAACAACAGUUGGAAACGACUGCUAAUACCUCAUAGUGUAGUCUGAGACUAUAUCGUAUCAGCUAGUUGGUAAGGUAUUGGCUUACCAAGGCUAUGACGCGUAACUGGUCUGAGAGGAUGAUCAGUAACAUUGGAACUGAGACACGAUCCAGACUCCUACGGGAAGCAGCAGUAAGGAAUACUGCGCAAGGGGGGAAACCCUGACGCAGCAACGGCGCGUGGAGGAUGACACUUUUCGGAGCGUAAACUCCUGUGAUCAGGAAAGCGGUACCUGAUGAAUAAGCACCGGCUAACUCCGUGCCAGCAGCCGCGGUAAUAC